rnacentral:rRNA from 1 species
GACAGAGGGUGCAAACGUUGCUCGGAAUCACUGGGCGUAAAGGGCGUGUAGGCGGGAAGGAAAGUCAGAUGUGAAAUCCCUGGGCUCAACCCAGGAACUGCAUUUGAAACUCCCUUUCUUGAGUACCGGAGAGGAAAGUGGAAUUCCUGGUGUAGAGGUGAAAUUCGUAGAUAUCAGGAGGAACACCGGUGGCGAAGGCGGCUUUCUGGACGGUAACUGACGCUGAGACGCGAAAGCGUGGGGAGCAAACAGGAUUAGAAACCCGCGUAGUCC